GGUUCACUUUGCGUGAUUAAAAAGGGAACACGGGUGCAAAUCCCGGACAGUCCAGCUGCUGUGAGUUGACAUUUUCGCCGCGAACAACGAGCCACUGAAUAUUUCGGGAAGGCGUUCGCCGACGGUCAACGAAGUCAGAAGACCUGCCUUUG
rnacentral:ncRNA from 1 species